GAGUUUGAUCAUGGUCAGGAUAAACGCUGGCGGCGUGCCUAAUGCAUGCAAGUCGAACGGACAGCCCUUCGGGGCUGUUAGUGGCAAACGGGUGAGUAACACGUGGGUCACGUACCCUGAGGUGGGGGAUAACCCGAGGAAACUCGGGCUAAUACCGCAUAUGGCUACGGCUAAAAGCCUUCGGGCGCCUUUGGAACGGCCCGCGGCCGAUUAUUUAAUCCUAGUUGGUGAGGUAACGGCUCACCAAGGGUACGAUCGGUAGCUGGUCUGAGAGGACGAUCAGCCACACUGGGACUGAGACACGGCCCAGACUCCUACGGGAGGCAGCAGUGGGGAAUAUUGGACAAUGGGCGAAAGCCUGAUCCAGCCAUGCCGCGUGGGUGAAGAAGGCC
rnacentral:rRNA from 1 species